rnacentral:rRNA from 1 species
ACUCAAAUGAAUUGACGGGGGCCCGCACAAGCAGCGGAGCGUGUGGUUUAAUUCGACGCAACGCGCAGAACCUUACCCAGGUUUGACAUGCAGCUGCAAGCUUCUCAAAGGAAGCUGCCUUCGAGGGUGCUGCACAGGUGCUGCAUGGCUGUCGUCAGCUCGUGUCGUGAGAUGUUGGGUUAAGUCCCGCAACGAGCGCAACCCUUGCGGCCAGUUACACGUGUCUGGCCGGACUGCCCUUCGGGGAGGAAGGCGGGGAUGACGUCAAGUCCGCAUGGCCCUUACACCUGGGGCGACACACACGCUACAAUGCCGCCGAUAAUGCGCAGCGACCCCGCAAGGGCAAGCGAAUCGGCAACCGGCGGCCUAGUGCAGAUUGAGGGCUGCAACUCGCCCUCAUGAAGACGGAGUUGCUAGUAACCGCGCAUCAGCAAUGGUGCGGUGAAUACGUACCCGGGCCUUGUACACACCGCCCGU